AGUAAAGUCAGCUAAAUAAAGCUACCGGGCCCAUACCCCGAAAAUGUCCACAGGACCUUUACUA
rnacentral:tRNA from 2 species